rnacentral:lncRNA from 1 species
UAAAUUUGGAACGGUUGUUUUUUUCUUUUUUUUGUGAACAAGAUGGGAACAAGCUUAAUUCAAGUCAAAGUUUAAUUUUAGUUAUUGUAGUAAAUUAUUAAUUAAUCUAAUUAAUAUAUUUAAAUCAUCAUCUAUUGCUUAAAUAAUAAAAUAAUUAAUUAAUUUAUUAUUUGAUAAUUAAUAAGGUAAUUAAAAAAAUUAAUAACUUAAUGCGAUUAUCCAUAAACUAAUAUUUAUAUUGAGCAACCAUUAAUAUUUUUAUUAAUCUAAUUAAUUUCCUUACUUAUUACCAAACUAAAAUAAUAUACUAACUAAUUAAAAAAUUAAAUUAUUUUUUAAUUAAUUAAUUAAUAUAUUUUCAUUAUCUUAUAUAAUAUUCAUAACUUGUAAAUUUAUUAAUUUAUUAAAUUAUUUUUAAUUAAUGUUUUGAUGUUAAUUAAUUAGAUAAAAUAUUUUUUAAUUUAAAAUUAUAACUCUUAUUCUUUUCUCUUCCAAUCUAACUAUCCAAACGUAAAACUAAUUACCUCAUAUCUAAUUUAAAAUUAAUCUAACUAUUUACCUUAUUCUCUGAAACAACUUAAUUUUCAUCCGAGCGUAAAACUAAUUUUAUUCGUAUUUAUAUCUGAAUUUAUAUCUAUCAUUGAAAUAAGUAAUUUUUUAUUUAUAUCCGAAUCAAACACAGUUCAUAAGAAUAUAUUU